rnacentral:rRNA from 1 species
GGCAAAAGCUCAAAUUUGAAAUCUGGUACCUUCGGUGCCCGAGUUGUAAUUUGGAGAGGGCAACUUUGGGGCCGUUCCUUGUCUAUGUUCCUUGGAACAGGACGUCAUAGAGGGUGAGAAUCCCGUGUGGCGAGGAGUGCGGUUCUUUGUAAAGUGCCUUCGAAGAGUCGAGUUGUUUGGGAAUGCAGCUCUAAGUGGGUGGUAAAUUCCAUCUAAAGCUAAAUAUUGGCGAGAGACCGAUAGCGAACAAGUACAGUGAUGGAAAGAUGAAAAGAACUUUGAAAAGAGAGUGAAAAAGUACGUGAAAUUGUUGAAAGGGAAGGGCAUUUGAUCAGACAUGGUGUUUUGUGCCCUCUGCUCCUUGUGGGUAGGGGAAUCUCGCAUUUCACUGGGCCAGCAUCAGUUUUGGUGGCAGGAUAAAUCCAUAGGAAUGUAGCUUGCCUCGGUAAGUAUUAUAGCCUGUGGGAAUACUGCCAGCUGGGACUGAGGACUGCGACGUAAGUCAAGGAUGCUGGCAUAAUGGUUAUAUGCCGCCCGUCUUGAAACACGGA